AUUGAACGCUGGCGGCAGGCCUAACACAUGCAAGUCGAACGAGUGGCGGACGGGUGAGUAAUGUCUGGGAAACUGCCCGAUGGAGGGGGAUAACUACUGGAAACAGUAGCUAAUACCGCAUACAAUCGGCUGGGCGCAGAUGUGAUUAGCUAGUAGGGGGGGUAACGGCUCACCUAGGCGACGAUCCCUAGCUAGUCUGAGAGGAUGACCAGGCACACGGGAACUGAGACAGGGUCCAGAGGCCGACGUGAGGCAGCAGGGGGGAAUAUGGCACAAUGGGGGCAAGCCUGAUGCAGCCAUGCCGAGUGUCGGAAGAAGGCCUUCGGGUUGUAAAGUACUUUCAGCGAGGAGGCGUUACUCUCAGAAGAAGCACCGGCUAACUCCGUGCCAGCAGCCGCGGUAAUAC
rnacentral:rRNA from 1 species